GGGGUCUCUCAUGAAUUUGCAGUCAAGAUGUCAGCUUGGGCUGCAGUCAUCUGCAUGGGGCUGGAGGAUCUGUUUCCAAGGGGCCCCACUCACAAGGCUGACAAAUUAGCACUGGUUGCAUUGGUUGUGGGCAGAAGGCUUUAGUUCUUCACGGGCUGUUGGCAGGUGGCUUUGGAUCCUCACCAGGAGGGACUCUGUAUGGGGCUGCUUGUGCAUCCUCACAACAUGGCAGCCAACUUCCUCCUGAGUGAAUGAUCCAGGAGAGAUCAAGGUAGAAACUGCAAUGCCUUUUAUGACCUCACCUCAGAAGUCACACAUCAUCAUUUCCACAAUGUCACAGUGGUUAUACAAGUGAGUCCUGUUCAGCGUGGGAGGAAAUAACACAAGAGGCAAAGAUCACUCGGGACCACCUUGUAUAUUGGCUACCACAGAACCCAACACAAGCAGUAAGUUAAAAUCAUGAAGCUCCUGACGUCAGAGGACAUGGCUCUGCCAUUUGUUAGGUAGGGAUCCUGUUAAAGGCUCAGCUUCCUCAUCUGGAAAUGGAAAUAUAGGCCUUGCCUGGUUUGCUGUAAUGGGUCGUGAUGAGGACCAAACUACAAAGAGUGGUACAGAUGUUAAUUACAAUGAUUUUUCCUAUGCCACCCAUGGAAACAAAAAUAGCAAGAUAGAGAAGGCUAAAUCCCAGUUUUUUUUGACUGCUAUUCAGCAAAGCCUAGGAGACUUUCAUGACACCUGGAGAGGCGGCCGUAGUGUAUGUGUAAGAGUACCGGUUCCAGAGUGGGGCUCCCCGAGCUCAGCCCCACCACUUACCAACAGCGGACCUUGGGCCAGAUGCUGAAGCCCUUUGUGCCUUGGUUUCCUGACCUAUUACUGUGGAAAUGAUGACAGUACCCUCCUCAUGGCAUCGUGAGAAUUAAAUUAGCUAAUUCAGGUGAAGCAUUUAGAAGAGGACCUCCUGACACUUAAUAACUGCUUGAUAUAAAUAAUAGCUUCUGCUACAGAGUGGCCAUGAAGUCUGGACAUGUAGAUAUUAUAUUAUCAUGCAUCAUAAGCACUGCAAUGAAUGCUGCUGCACACGCUGUUGAGCUCGUGGACACUUUCCUGCUGGGUGAGGACCCGAACGUGAAAUUGCUGGGUCAUGGAUUCAAGUGCUACACAUAUUUUUGACCACAUUACUGUGACUCAGGAAGCCCAGGAACAGAAUUCUAGGCACCAGAACCAUACAUGUUACAGCCUCUGAGCUUUAUGGCCUCUGAGCCAUUUGUCCAGCCACAUCAUUUGCAGAUGAGAUCCUGAGACUCAGGCUGGAAAAGUGACCGGGGAAAAGUCACACAAGUCAGAGGCAGAGCUGGAGUUUCCUCAUUUCCAGGCCCGUAUAGAUCAAGACGGACGUUGGUCAAACACCUCCUAGUACUCACAUGAAGAAGCUCUCCUUUCUGCUGUAGGAAUGAUCACACACCAUUCCAAUCUGGAUACCAAAUGUCAUUGUUUAUUAAAUGUGUGCAGUGUGCCAGGCA
ensembl:lncRNA LINC01968 long intergenic non-protein coding RNA 1968